AACGAACGCUGGCGGCAGGCUUAACACAUGCAAGUCGAACGGGUGCAGCAAUGCACCAGUGGCAGACGGGUGAGUAACACGUGGGAACCUUCCUAGGGGUACGGAACAACUCAGGGAAACUUGAGCUAAUACCGUAUACGCCCCGGAGCAAUCCGGGGGAAAGAUUCAUCGCCCCUAGACGGGCCCGCGUCGGAUUAGGUAGUUGGUGGGGUAACGGCCUACCAAGCCUACGAUCCGUAGCUGANCUGAGAGGAUGAUCAGCCACACUGGGACUGAGACACGGCCCAGACUCCUACGGGAGGCAGCAGGUGGGGAAUCUUGGACAAUGGGCGCAAGCCUGAUCCAGCCAUGCCG
rnacentral:rRNA from 1 species